CCUACGGGAGGCAGCAGUGGGGAAUUUUGGACAAUGGGCGCAAGCCUGAUCCAGCAAUGCCGCGUGCAGGAUGAAGGCCUUCGGGUUGUAAACUGCUUUUGUACGGAACGAAAAAGUCUGCCCUAAUACGGUGGGCCCAUGACGGUACCGUAAGAAUAAGCACCGGCUAACUACGUGCCAGCAGCCGCGGUAAUACGUAGGGUGCGAGCGUUAAUCGGAAUUACUGGGCGUAAAGCGUGCGCAGGCGGUUAUAUAAGACAGAUGUGAAAUCCCCGGGCUCAACCUGGGACCUGCAUUUGUGACUGUAUAGCUAGAGUACGGUAGAGGGGGAUGGAAUUCCGCGUGUAGCAGUGAAAUGCGUAGAUAUGCGGAGGAACACCGAUGGCGAAGGCAAUCCCCUGGACCUGUACUGACGCUCAUGCACGAAAGCGUGGGGAGCAAACAGGAUUAGAUACCCUGGUAGUCCACGCCCUAAACGAUGUCAACUGGUUGUUGGGUCUUCACUGACUCAGUAACGAAGCUAACGCGUGAAGUUGACCGCCUGGGGAGUACGGCCGCAAGGUUGAAACGUCAAAGNUAGUGGCGUGAGAGAGACGACGACGACGACGAGGAGGGAGGAGG
rnacentral:rRNA from 1 species